ensembl:lncRNA
CUCAGGUCCACCAGUUACUGCUGGAGUGAGAAGAACCUCGUGAGCACAUGCCCCGUUCUGAGCUAUAGAGUUUGCAAAUCUCUUUUUCUCAUGGAUGGACCCAGCUCUAAUUUACCUGUCCUACGGUAGUACCAGACUAUGAUGAUGGGGAUGAUGGAGAUGAUGAUGACAGCAGCCACAAGGGCAAGCCAGUACCAGUUUAGGUUUUCUAGAAGAACACAGAAUAGUGUUGAGGCAAAGCUGAGCACGGCUGUCCUUAACAGAGUGGCAGCCAUAGGAAAGUCCCUGCUCCCCAUUACCAUCUCUCCAGCCCUGAAACUCAGAGACUGUGAGAUCUCACUCAGGUCCUUGGAAGGGGCAGGUGGUCUCUCUCACCAGAAGUGGAGGAGGAGGCUCUGCUCCCCAGAAUGUGGUCCCAUGUGAAUGAUUGCAGCCAAGGGGUCUGUCUAUUCCUAGGACACAGCCUGAGGCUUAGAGGUGGGAGAAGAUUGGCUGGUUCUGACCACCAUGUGGGAGGGAUGGGGCAGGGCCUACCUUGGGGAGAUAUCCAAGAGACUUCUCAGGAAUCCUGCCUCUCCUUUGUGAAAUCACAGUACAGGCAAGGCUGAGGAUGCAUAGCAUUGCGCAUUUGUUUAUUUAUUGUCUUUGGCUGCCUUUACUACAAUGGAAGAGAUGAGUAGUGACUACAGACUAUCUGGUGUCCAGAAAAGGUCUGGGUGCCUGGAUUUAAGAUAAUGAGUGAUCCACUUACCUGACUCUUGAGUGAUCUUGGCACAUACGGUGUUUGCCCUGGGAUGGCAUGGCUUAAGGAUACCUCUGCCUUCAGAACAACUGGGAGGAAACACUGAGCAUCACUUGUGCCCAGCCAGACUCAGCUCAUAGCAUCCACAUCAUCACCCACAGGGUAGGGGUUAGGAGGGACCAGCCCUACCUCAGGAUGGCCCUGCCAUGCUUUCGUAAUCUUGCCCAAACUGAUCCAAUGAGAGUACUUAGGAGUACUUAUGAUACUUAGGAGAAGAGCCUUUCUCUCUCUCUCCUGGAUGGACUGUCACCAUAAGGACCAGAUCUGCUGUCCCGCUACUCAAAUGGCAGUCAGCCCAGAGACAAAGCCCUUUGGUGGAGAAGGGGAAAGGCAAUCGAGUUCAGAGAAGCCAGAGUCUUGAUUGAGCCAGACUUGAAGGCUUGAACUCUUCAGGAAUGGAGGCCUACAGUGCCCUUGGAUUUGAACAGUGCCCUACAGUAUGAAUAGGCAGAGAGUUUUGAGCCUGUUUGUGGCACCAACUCCAGCUCUCUCCUGAGAUUCCUAACUGCCCUAGGUGAGUUUCACAGAGGAACUUCGAAGCUCUAAAAG